rnacentral:rRNA from 1 species
AGCUCUUUCUUGAUUUUGUGGGUGGUGGUGCAUGGCCGUUCUUAGUUGGUGGAGUGAUUUGUCUGCUUAAUUGCGAUAACGAACGAGACCUUAACCGUUAAAUAGAUUAGCUCGCAUUUGCGGGUACAUUAAUCUUCUUAGCGGGACUGCGGAUUUUAAGUCUGCGGAAGUUUGAGGCAAUAACAGGUCUGUGAUGCCCUUAGACGUUCUGGGCCGCACGCGCGCUACACUGACGGAGCCAGCGAGUGAAUUAACCAAGCCCGAGAGGGCUAGGUAAUCUUGUGAAACUCCGUCGUGCUGGGGAUCGAGCAUUGCAAUUAUUGCUCGUGAACGAGGAAUUCCUAGUAAGCGCAAGUCAUCAGCUUGCGUUGAUUACGUCCCUGCCCUUUGUACACACCGCCCGUCGCUACUACCGAUUGAAUGGUUUAGUGAGACCUUAGGAGAUCUUGAAGAAAUGGGGGCAACCCUAUAGAUUUGGAUCAAAUUUGGUCAAACUUGAUCAUUUAGAGGAAGUAAAAGUCGUAACAAGGUUUCCGUAGGUGAACCUGCGGAAGGAUCAUUCAAAAUGGUUUUUUUACUUUUUAAAACUUAUGUGCAUUAAUUUUUUAUUUUAUUAAAAUUAAAUUAAUUUGAUUUUUUUUAACGAAUUUUUAUUUUAAAUAAAAUACAACUUUCAACAACGGAUCUCUAGGUUCUCGUAUCGAUGAAGAACGCAGCGAAGCGCGAUAUUUUUUGUGACUUGCAGAUGUGAAUCAUUAGUUUUUGAACGCAUAUUGCGCAGUAUAGUUAAUCUAUACUGCACGG